AGAAACUUAGGUUCAACAUCUAAACCAGUAACCUUCAAAGCUAAAGACAAGAGUGCAAACCUCUUAGUUUCUG
rnacentral:tRNA from 1 species